CGAGGGGUAGAAGAGCACAGGGG
rnacentral:miRNA from 1 species